GGCACUAGGAUUCACGCUACUGUUGAUGAAGAAUUGAUCGCAAAACAUAAAGGCAUCCUUAUAGAAGGAAAAUCACUUUCUAUUAAUUGCUUUAUCAUUAAAGAAUACUAUGGUGAUUUUAGGACUACUCUAUUACCAUACAAGAUCGUUUUGUGCAGAACCACCUGUGCUAAAGAGAUUAAUGAUUUUCCAUCAGACUUGCCGGAAAAAUAUUUGUCUGAUUUCAAGUCAAUCAAGGAAGUCAAACUCGACAAAAACGUCCUCAUCAGUAUGUCAUCAUCGCGAUUUUGAUAAUUAUAUUCUAAUGUACAUAUUUAUCAUUGUAUACAAAUAUUUUGUCUUCAAGAUGUCAUUGGACAAAUUGUCACUGUGGGGAGUAUGGAAGUUAUAAAAACUAAAGGCAGCGAGAAAUUGAUGAUAACACUCCGGGAUACCAAGUGACAUUUCAAUAUCAAACGCUUUCAACUCCACCAAAAUUUUAUUUGAUCCUGACGUCAAGAUCGUGAAAGACUUCAGAGAAAAGUUGCCAAAAAACAAUCAAAUGAUUGUGCAUGCUGAACAGAGUUAUUCGACUUCUUGGAGUGGUGCUAUUGACUACCGUGAAUAAUUUUUAGGUGUGAAGGUGGACGAUAGCUGGAAUUCGUGAUACAAAAGUGAUUGUAACAUGCAUAACGGUCAAAGACGUUGACACUUCAAAGCUGUGGUAUUAUUGAGCAUGCAAACCUUGCAACAUCAAAGUUUUAGAGCAGGACAUUAUGUCUGAUGAUGAAGAUUACGAUAAGAGGAUUCCUCUUUUCAGUUGCAAAAAAUUGUGGAGAUAUUUAUUCAUAUGAUACAAUCGU